rnacentral:rRNA from 1 species
GAUGAACGCUGGCGGCGUGCCUAAUACAUGCAAGUCGAGCGAACGGACGAGAAGCUUGCUUCUCUGAUGUUAGCGGCGGACGGGUGAGUAACACGUGGAUAACCUACCUAUAAGACUGGGAUAACUUCGGGAAACCGGAGCUAAUACCGGAUAAUAUUUUGAUCCGCAUGGUUCAAAAGUGAAAGACGGUCUUGCUGUCACUUCUAGAUGGAUCCGCGCUGCAUUAGCUAGUUGUUAAGGUAACGGCUUACCAAGGCAACGAUGCAUAGCCGACCUGAGAGGGUGAUCGGCGACACUGGAACUGAGACACGGUCCAGACUACUACGGGAGGCAGCAGUAGGGAAUCUUCCGCAAUGGGCGAAAGCCUGACGGAGCAACGCCGCGUGAGUGAUGAAGGUCUUCGGAUCGUAAAAAUCUGUUAUUAGGGAAGAACAUAUGUGUAAGUAACUGUGCACAGCUUGACGGUACCUAAUCAGAAAGCCACGGCUAACUACGUG